rnacentral:rRNA from 1 species
AUUGAACGCUGGCGGCCGGCUUAACACAUGCAAGUCGACCGAGCGGCGGACGGGUGAGUAAUGUCUGGGAAACUGCCUGAUGGUGGGGGAUAACUACUGGAAACGGUAGCUAAUACCGCCUACCAUCGGAUGUGCCCAGAUGGGAUUAGCUAGUAUGUGGGGUAAAGGCUCACCUAGGCGACGAUCCCUAGCUGGACUGAGAGGAGGACCAGGGAAGCGGCAAAUGUGAAACGGUGCAGGAGCCUACGGGAAGGGACAAGGGGGAAGAUGGCGCAAUGGGCGCAAACCUGAUGAAGCCAUGCCGCGUGGAUGAGGAGGGCAUAAAGGUUUUAAAGUACUUACGGCGGGGAGGCGUUACCCGCAGAAGAUGCCCCGGCUAACGCCGUGCCAGCAGCCGCGGUAAUUC